GAUGAACGCUAGCGGCAGGCCUAACACAUGCAAGUCGAGGGGUAACUAGAAUGAUAGCAAUAUUAUUUUGGCUAGACCGGCGCACGGGUGCGUAACACGUAUGCAACCUACCUUAUACUGGGGAAUAACUUCGAGAAAUCGGCGCUAAUACCCCAUAACACUGCGAAGAGGCAUCUCUUUGCAUUUAAAGCUCCGGCGGUAUAAGAUGGGCAUGCGUCCAAUUAGCUAGUUGGUGAGGUAACGGCUCACCAAGGCUACGAUUGGUAGGGGUUCUGAGAGGAUGAUCCCCACACUGGUACUGAGACACGGACCAGACUCCUACGGGAGGCAGCAGUGAGGAAUAUUGCGCAAUGGACGAAAGUCUGACGCAGCCAUGCCGCGUGCAGGAUGACGGCCCUAUGGGUUGUAAACUGCUUUUGUAUGGGAAUAAACCCUUCUACGUGUAGAAGGCUGAAGGUACCAUAAGAAUAAGCACCGGCUAACUCCGUGCCAGCAGCCGCGGUAAUACGGAGGGUGCAAGCGUUAUCCGGAUUUAUUGGGUUUAAAGGGUCCGUAGGCGGGCCGAUAAGUCAGUGGUGAAAGCCCAUAGCUCAACUAUGGAACUGCCAUUGAUACUGUCGGUCUUGAGUAUAUGUGAUGUUGGCGGAAUGUGUAGUGUAGCGGUGAAAUGCUUAGAUAUUACACAGAACACCGAUUGCGAANGCAGCUGACAAAUAUAUAACUGACGCUGAGGGACGAAAGUGUGGGGAUCAAACAGGAUUAGAUACCCUGGUAGUCCACACCGUAAACGAUGAUUACUAGAUUUUGGCCUUAUGGUCAGAGUCCAAGCGAAAGUGUUAAGUAAUCCACCUGGGGAGUACGUCCGCAAGGAUGAAACUCAAAGGAAUUGACGGGGGCCCGCACAAGCGGUGGAGCA
rnacentral:rRNA from 1 species